rnacentral:rRNA from 1 species
GAUGAACGCUGGCGGCGUGCCUAAUACAUGCAAGUCGAGCGAACAGACGAGGAGCUUGCUCCUCUGACGUUAGCGGCGGACGGGUGAGUAACACGUGGAUAACCUACCUAUAAGACUGGGAUAACUUUGGGAAACCGGAGCUAAUACCGGAUAAUAUAUUGAACCGCAUGGUUCAAUAGUGAAAGACGGUUUUGCUGUCACUUAUAGAUGGAUCCGCGCCGCAUUAGCUAGUUGGUAAGGUAACGGCUUACCAAGGCAACGAUGCGUAGCCGACCUGAGAGGGGGAUCGGCCACAAGGGAACUGAGAAAAGGUCCAGACUCCUAAGGGAGGGAGCAGUAGGGAAUCUUGCGCAAUGGGCGAAAGCCUGAAGGAGCAAAGCCGCGGGAGGGAAGAAGGUCUUCGGAUCGGAAAACUCUGUUAAUAGGGAAGAACAAAUGUGUAAGUAACUAUGCACGUCUUGACGGUACCUAAUCAGAAAGCCACGGCUAACUACGUG